rnacentral:rRNA from 1 species
AUUGAACGCUGGCGGCAGGCCUAACACAUGCAAGUCGAGCGGUUGACGGGAGCUUGCUCCCUGAUACAGCGGCGGACGGGUGAGUAAUGCCUAGGAAUCUGCCUAUUAGUGGGGGACAACGUUUCGAAAGGAACGCUAAUACCGCAUACGUCCUACGGGAGAAAGCAGGGGACCUUCGGGCCUUGCGCUAAUAGAUGUGCCUAGGUCGGAUUAGCUUGUUGGUGAGGUAAUGGCUCACCAAGGCGACGAUCCGUAACUGGUCUGAGAGGAUGAUCAGUCACACUGGAACUGAGACACGGUCCAGACUCCUACGGGAGGCAGCAGUGGGGAAUAUUGGACAAUGGGCGAAAGCCUGAUCCAGCCAUGCCGCGUGUGUGAAGAAGGUCUUCGGAUUGUAAAGCACUUUAAGUUGGGAGGAAGGGUUGUAGAUUAAUACUCUGCAAUUUUGACGUUACCGACAGAAUAAGCACCGGUUAACUCUGUGCCAGCCGCCGCGGUAAUAC